rnacentral:rRNA from 1 species
CUUUGAUUGCAUGAUUGAAGUUUGAAAGAUGCAACUGCAUCACUACCAGAUGGACCUGCGUUGUAUUAGCUAGUAGGUGAGGUAAAGGCUCACCUAGGCGACGAUACAUAGCCGACCUGAGAGGGUGAACGGCCACACUGGGACUGAGACACGGCCCAGACUCCUACGGGAGGCAGCAGUAGGGAAUCUUCGGCAAUGGGGGCAACCCUGACCGAGCAACGCCGCGUGAGUGAAGAAGGUUUUCGGAUCGUAAAGCUCUGUUGUAAGAGAAGAACGUGUGUGAGAGUGGAAAGUUCACACAGUGACGGUAACUUACCAGAAAGGGACGGCUAACUACGUGCCAGCAGCCGCGGUAAUACGUAGGUCCCGAGCGUUAUCCGGAUUUAUUGGGCGUAAAGCGAGCGCAGGCGGUUGGAUAAGUCUGAAGUUAAAGGCUGUGGCUCAACCAUAGUAUGCUUUGGAAACUGUUCAACUUGAGUGCAGAAGGGGAGAGUGGAAUUCCAUGUGUAGCGGUGGAAUGCGUAGAUAUAUGGAGGAACACCGGUGGCGAAAGCGGCUCUCUGGUCUGUAACUGACGCUGAGGCUCGAAAGCGUGGGUAGCGAACAGGAUUAGAUACCCUGGUAGUCCACGCCGUAAACGAUGAGUGCUAGGUGUUAGGCCCUAUCCGGGGCUUAGUGCCGGAGCUAACGCAUUAAGCACUCCGCCUGGGGAGUACGACCGCAAGGUUGAAACUCAAAGGAAUUGACGGGGGCCCGCACAAGCGGUGGAGCAUGUGGUUUAAUUCGAAGCAACGCGAAGAACCUUACCAGGUCUUGACAUCCCAGUGCC